rnacentral:rRNA from 1 species
AUCGAACGCUGGCGGCAUGCCUUACACAUGCAAGUCGGACGAGUGGCGAACGGGUGAGUAACGCAUUGGCACGUACCGAGUCAUGGGGGAUAACUGUCCGAAAGGAUAGCAAAUACCGCAUAUUAUUCGAGCGGCCGAUGGCGGUUUAGCUGGUUGGGGGGGUAAAGGCCCACCAAGGCGACGCGCAGUAGCGGGUCUGAGAGGCUGAUCCGCCACACUGUGACUGAGACACGGCCCAGACUCCUACGGGAGGCAGCAGUGGGGAAUUUUGGACAAUGGGCGCAAGCCUGAUCCAGCCAUGCCGCGUGUCUGAAGAAGGCCUUCGGGUUGUAAAGGACUUUUGUCAGGGAAGCGGUACCUGAAGAAUAAGCACCGGCUAACUACGUGCCAGCAGCCGCGGUAAUAC